UACAAUUUCAGUUUUUUUUUUAAGAAACAUGAGGGAUUUAACCUGCACUCUUCGGAUCUGCAGCCAGAUCAUUAACCCUCUGCACCACCAGGGGAUAGAUGUGGCCUUGAGGGUUAUUUUUGGUCUAACAUCGUCAAUCAGGACAAAACACAAUUUCCGAGUUAUUAAAAUUUUCCUAUCCUCUUCAUGUGCUGUGUACUUGUAACACUGUAUUUUAUGAUUUUGCUAUUGAUCUUUUUUGGACCCUUUUAAUUGAAAACGGCCUGGAAAUAUGUUGUGAGUGGAUGAAUGUGCUCAGGUAGUGUCACAUCCUGACCUUAGUUAUCUCUGUUUUCUUUAUUAUUUUGGGUAAGUCGGGGUGUGACUAGAGUGGGUAUGUUAGUUUUGACUUGUCUAGGGGUUUUGUAUAUCUAGGGGUUUGGUAAAUCUAUGGUUUAUUGUAUGUCUAUGGUGGCCUGAAUUGGUUCCCAAUCAGAGGCAGCUGUUUAUCGUUGUCUCUGAUUGGGGACCAUAUUUAGGUAGCCAUUUUGCCUAGGGUAUUUGUGGGUUCUUGUUCUAUGUUUAGUUGCCUGUCUGCCCUAUCAUAUUAGCGGCACGGUUCAUUUUGUUCAGUGUUCAUUCGUGUAAUAAAGUAGAAUGUAUGCAUACCACGCUGCACCUUGGUCUCCUCCUUACAACGGACGUGACAGAUAGCCUAGUAAAGGAGCCCUUUGAAAAAUCCAAUGAGAAAUCUUUACGACUAGGCCCACAGAGAUCCUAUUGAAUUAAUAGGGAUUCUAUAUGGAAUUCUAUGAUUCGGCCCAACCACAUACAGUAGGAGGUCUGGUACCGGGAUUUUUUUAAUCUACUUUGAUCCCUGACUGUCCUGUGCUGUACUGUUCUGUCCAAAGUUGUGAAACAUUGAUGUCUAUGAUUGGUUCCGAUUUGGUCAGACAGGACCAAAAAAAGACAUUGCUUUGUGAGUUAACCCCUAAACUUCUCGGGUGCUGCUCCGGCUUACCAUGUGUUAGUAUUCUGUUUCUCACAAAAUGGCCAAUAAAGUAUCUAUUCUAUUCUAUUUUCUGCCCACACACACACGUGUCUGUCACUAUCCCAGGGUGUUAAUGAAACACCACAUACCCCAUAUUGUUACUGUGCUCAACUGCACAGCCUCUCAAUUCCUGGGACGUAGUGGAGCUUAUCCAGGCGUACUCGAUUUACAGCUGUGGACAUGUAGUCUCACAUGUUUGUCAAGUGUUUUUCAUAACGUUUGGCUUAACUACUCAGAUCGUACUGAAAGAGGAGUACGCUUUUCAAAAGGUGCGAGGUUCUUUUUGCUUCGGACAACAGCAUAUAAACCCUUUUUACGUUAGGGUAAAUCUUAUGCUCUCUGGUUCUGCACACAUACAAGAAAGCUUAAUGGAGCGAUACGGUCCAUUCUAUGCCUGUUAUGUGGUGAAAUAAUUUUUCUGUGCGCACUGACGAGGUGAGCUCACUCAGAAGCCCAGAAUGCGUUCUUCGGGAACAUUGAAAGAGACAGAAAAAUGUGAGCGCACAGCCAACCGAGCCAAAGUACCACGAAAGCCUUGCUACGCCACACACACAGGCAAUACCCACAAUACCCUUCUAAUCCACUGUCGACGACACCAACGCUUCCUGGCAGGACCAGGAAGAGGGUUUUUGUAGAGUGAGUGAGGGCUUAGAAUUGUACCUUCCUCGCAGCGAACGCCAAGUCAGUUGGGAGCGCCGUCUCCAUGGUAACGUAGGAUUAUCAUCUUUUACAUAACGGCGGCUGGGCAUUUAACCCCCCUAAAUUAACCACAACAGUCAGUGCACUAGUUUUGUUACCAAGAUGUGUGUGUGUUCAAGGCAUCCGCUGUAAAAGUCUAUAAGUAACAAAUGUAUAGGCUUUGUCAAUAGCACAGACGUGCUGGCACUCAGGUUUUUGAGUGACGUGUUUUUUCAAUCAUGUACAUCUAGAUUGACAACACCAAACGGGUCCUAGAUAAUAUGUAAUCACCUCUCAUCUGAUUCAAAUUCUGUUCAGCGCCAGACCAAAGGAUUCUUCUUAAAAAGAUUGAUCUCGACCCCGACUACAAAUCCUGAUAUGAACACUUUGGAAGGCCACCAUGGCUUUUACACAACUCUGUGGAAACUGAGGGCAUAUAAAGGGAUAUUUCACCAAAACAACAAUCCUCUGUGCUUCUAUUCAACAACAUAAAACAAAAUGUGUGUUACUCCUAGUAUAUAUGACAGCAUCUAUUUUAAAACCUUUUAUUGUACGAUGAAAUAGUGCAGAUGCAUGUAAUACAACCAUACUCCAUUUCAAAUUGGAUGUACUUUUGCACUCAAAAUGGAGCAUUCUGAAUGUGUGCAUUGUAUUUAUUAAACUGUUAAACCGCAACAUUAAUUUAGAACUACUUCAGAAAAAGUAAGUUUAACAUCUACCACAGUGGUAAGAAAUGCCAAGGGUUCUCAACCUUCAUUUUACAGCUGCGUAGCUAAAAACAGCUUUUAAAAUCAAAUUUUUCUGAAGAAAGACUUUAAUAUGCAUUUUUCCAAUUUUAUGAAGACGAGAAGUCCUGAGAUAUUAAACAUUCAGGCAGAGUUUAGGAAGACAGCAGUGCUCCCCAUCAAUAGUGAUCUGGGAGCAAGAGUUAAUCUACCAGUCGCUCACUUCCAAUUAGAAUUAUCUAAUUUACAUAUUCAGCUGUGGAGCGCAAAAUCGUCCCGUCCUCAAAUCCGGCAUGUGAUUAAAUCAUAGCUAGUUUCCAUUUAAUGAGGUUUGCCGAAAUCACUGUUUUUCAAAGGUUCAAAUACCUAGACAUCUUGUAUCGCCGUGCUUGAAUAAAGAUGUCUUCUAACUUUCUUUGCUUUAAGAAGAAGACAAGAUAUCUAAGUUAUCAUUGCCUCUUCCACCCCACCCUGAACUCCACUCUGGCUUGCCUCUCUCCCAUCACUCCCCCAGGUCAUCAGGCCCCUAAUGCCAAGAUGGCUAUCUUCUUCACCUCCUCCCUGUUGUUUGAAUUGAGCUAAAAUAGGAUUCAUUAAUAAAACUGAAAUAGGGGAAUGAUGAUGUCCGUUUUGCAUUACAACUUGUAAGGAGUCAUCAUGAAAAACAAGAGUGAGAGUGAUGCUUUGUGCUGUGAAAUACAGACUCUAAAAGGUUGGUGUUGUCUUUCACCGUGUUAUUAGAGUGUUAUUAGAUAUGCUCACGCUGUAACCUAACAAGGAGAGGGUAUAAAUAACCCUUUCAGGCUCGCGUACAUUGCUAAGUGAAAUUAAGCAAAGGAAUUGGGCAUUAGCUUAGCUGGAAUAAUUUGAUUCUCCACCAAUUAUCCAUCUUUGUGAGAUCAAUUGCCUUAAAAUCUAAUCUCUUGAACUUCUCUCCAUAAAAAGCCUUGUGUUUACCACUUCAGUAGCAGUGGACCCCUCCUGUCUCAGCCUCCAGUAUUUAUGCUGCAUUAGUUUAUGUGUCGGGGGGCUAGGGUCAGUUUGUUAUAUCUGGAGUACUUCUCCUGUCCUAUUCGGUGUCCUGUGUGAAUCUAAGUGUGCGUUCUCUAAUUCUCUCCUUCUCUCUUUCUUUCUCUCUCUCGGAGGACCUGAGCCCUAGGACCAUGCCCCAGGACUACCUGACAUGAUGACUCCUUGCUGUCCCCAGUCCACCUGGCCAUGCUGCUGCUCCAGUUUCAACUGGCCUGGGCCCUAGGACCAUGUCCCAGGACUACCUGACAUGAUGACUCCUUGCUGUCCCCAGUCCACCUGGCCAUGCUGCUGCUCCAGUUUCAACUGUUCUGCCUUACUAUUAUUCAACCAUGCUGGACCUGAGCCCUAGGACCGUGCCCCAGGACUACCUGACAUGAUGACUCCUUGCUGUCCCCAGUCCACCUGACUGUGCUGCUGCUCCAGUUUCAACUGUUCUGCCUUAUUAUUAUUCGACCAUGCUGGUCAUUUAUGAACAUUUGAACAUCUUGGUCAUGUUCUGUUAUAAUCUCUACCCGGCACAGCCAGAAGAGGACUGGCCACCCCACAUAGCCUGGUUCCUCUCUAGGUUUCUUCCUAGGUUUUGGCCUUUCUAGGGAGUUUUUCCUAGCCACCGUGCUUUUACACCUGCAUUGUUUGCUGUUUGGGGUUUUAGGCUGGGUUUCUGUACAGCACUUUGAGAUAUCAGCUGAUGUACGAAGGGCUAUAUAAAUACAUUUGAUUUGAUUUGAUUUGGAUAGAUAAAUAUCUCUUUUUCACCCUGAUCAAGUCAUAUUAUGAGCUCAGAGACAGCCCAAAGUGUGUACACGUAUGGUUCCUCCCAAUCUCCAAAUAAAACACAAAUUUGUGGCGUAACUGCAGCAACAGAAUUACA